AGGACGCCCAGCAGAAGCUCCAACCCAGGAGCAGUUGCCACCCUUACAGGAGGGAGCUGAGGAGCCAGGAAGCGGGCCCCAAGACUGGCUGCUGUUGGAACCCCAGGGAGCACCAGGUGCUGAUGCGGAGGAACCUGAAGACCUUGAUGCUACGUUUGGAGAACUGGAUGGCUGAAGCAUAAGAGGCACUGGCAGCUCUUUAAUGCCAUUGUGACAGGUCUCUAGGAACUUGUUGUGGAAGUGCAGAGUUACCUGCUGACUCAGUCAGAUCAGCUCACCACUGCUAUGCGAGGAUUUCAGCAGAGAAGCACUUUCAUCUGAGGCUCUUCAAUGCAAUUAAUUGCUGUCACACUAGCUUUGUCAGAGCUAAUUAAACGGAUCUACACAUUCAUACUAAUAGCUUAUUCUCAGAAAGAGAAGAGACCAGGAGGUCACUUGCUCCUACAACCCUCAACCUCCUUCAGUGUUUGGAAAACCUGAUGGCAUCUGUGUGAAAUUUAUGAAUACCAUUAUCUCUUAAUACUGUCACCUUUUUAGCAGUACAUGGAGAAUAGCAAUGGUUUCCUUUCUUGUGUAUUUAUUAUUUAUGCCCAAUUUGGACUGGUGGAAUUAGCAACCUAGAUCAUCAUUCUGAAAAAUGUCAUACUCCCUUAAUCCCAA